UUUUUUUUUUUUUUUUGAAUACCAGGAGAUUCUAGUCCGAAGCCCGUGAUCUUCCCAGACCCGAAACCACAGCAUGUAAUAUUAGUUUCGUCCCAAGCGUCACUCGAACCGUCUUUACUCUUCUUUUGAAUACCUUCUCCCAAAAGUGCUAGAUUUUCUUGCUUCUGUUCCUCCUCGUUCAAGACGUUUAUAUAACUGAACUGAAGCAAGACCUCAAGAAUUAAAAAGA
rnacentral:sRNA from 1 species